GAUGAACGCUGGCGGCGUGCCUAAUACAUGCAAGUCGAGCGAACAGACGAGGAGCUUGCUCCUCUGACGUUAGCGGCGGAAGGGUGAGUAACACGUGGAUAACCUACCUAUAAGACUGGGAUAACUUCGGGAAACCGGAGCUAAUACCGGAUAAUAUAUUGAACCGUAUGGUUCAUUAGUGAAAGACGGUUUUGCUGUCAAUUAUAGAUGGAUAUGCGCCGCAUUAGCUAGUUGGUAAGGUAACGGCUUACCAAGGCGACGAUGAGUAACCGACCUGAGAGAGGGAUCGGCCACACGUGAACUGAAACGCGGUCCAGACUCCUACGGGAGGCACCAGUAGGCUAUGCUCCUCAGUGGUCGAAGACUGGACGGAGCAACGCCGAGGGUGAUAGUAAGUUCUUCGGUUCGGAAAACUCUGCUUUGGGUGAAGAACAAAUGUGGAAGUAACUAGACACUUCUUGACGGUACCGUAUCAAAAAGCCACGGCUAACUACGUG
rnacentral:rRNA from 1 species